rnacentral:rRNA from 1 species
GGCUCAGGACGAACGCUGGCGGCGUGCUUAACACAUGCAAGUCGAACGAUGAUGCCCAGCUUGCUGGGUGGAUUAGUGGCGAACGGGUGAGUAACACGUGAGUAACCUGCCCCUGACUCUGGGAUAAGCGUUGGAAACGACGUCUAAUACUGGAUAUGAUCACUGGCCGCAUGGUCUGGUGGUGGAAAGAUUUUUUGGUUGGGGAUGGACUCGCGGCCUAUCAGCUUGUUGGUGAGGUAAUGGCUCACCAAGGCGACGACGGGUAGCCGGCCUGAGAGGGUGACCGGCCACACUGGGACUGAGACACGGCCCAGACUCCUACGGGAGGCAGCAGUGGGGAAUAUUGCACAAUGGGCGAAAGCCUGAUGCAGCAACGCCGCGUGAGGGAUGACGGCCUUCGGGUUGUAAACCUCUUUUAGUAGGGAAGAAGCGAAA